UGGUUCUGGCAUNGAUGAAGAACGCAGCGAAAUGCGAUAAGUAAUGUGAAUUGCAGAAUUCAGUGAAUCAUCGAAUCUUUGAACGCACAUUGCGCCCUUUGGCAUUCCGAGGGGCAUGCCCGUUCGAGCGUCAUUAACACCACUCAAGCCUAGCUUGGUGUUGGGCGUCGGGGACUUCCCCGCGCCUCCAUAUCGCCGGCUGGCCGUCGUCUGACUUAAGCGUUGUGACACAUGUCGCUGAAGAAGACGCCGGAUCACGCCGUUAAACCCCUUGAAUGUUCAUCGAAUGUUCAGUACAGGUUGACCUCGGAUCGGGUAGGAAUACCCGCUGA
rnacentral:misc_RNA from 1 species